CAUUUUGAAAUCGCUCUAAC
rnacentral:snRNA from 1 species